AGACUUUUAAGCACCAAUACUAAUGUGAGGUCAAAGAUAUUUCUUUCUACAAGGUCUAAGAUUUAGGCAAACUAAGCUUAGCAAGGCCAGGAUAAGUAUUUUAUCAAUCAAGCAUUGUAAAAGAUUUUUCAAGUUGUUGGUGAUUCACCUGAUCAUUAGGAGCUUUCCACUUGCUGGCACAAUGAGAAAGAAGGAAGCUCAUCAAAUGGAAAAUUUCCAUUUUCAGAUCUGGCCUUGCCUGGAAGUAAAAAUAGCAUAAGGAAAAUAGAUCAUUUAAUAGAUCCUUAUUACAGGGGGAAAUCAGCAAACUUACCAGCAUUCGCUGCAAAAAUACAAGAUCCAAAAGAGCCACAUUGUUCAGCACCUUCAGUACUCCAGUAGCCACCUCUUCAAAAUUAGAUGGAAGGAUAAAUGAGGCCUAGAAGAAAAUGAAGUUGUUCGACUCAGGUUGUAGAAAACUCACUUGUUCAGAAGAUGAUCUAUUGUUUGCUUGCAAAAGAACAGCAGUCAAAAGAGAAGGGAGACUGACUAAUCCUGUUUCAGAAAUAGCUGAAAGAAGAAAUACUACUGGCUGAGCCAAAUUUGAUACUUUUUCGUUUUUCUGUACUGUAACAUUUACCACUGUAUGUUUCUCAUCCUUUUGGAAAACAGGCAUAUUAGUAAUAUCCCCAUUUUGAUA